rnacentral:rRNA from 1 species
GCGCAGCAGGCGAGAAACUUUACAAUGUGCGAAAGCACGAUAAGGGAACUCUGAGUGCCUCCUAAGGAGGCUGUUCAGGUGUCUAAAAGCACCUGAAGGAAGGGCUGGGUAAGACCGGUGCCAGCCGCCGCGGUAACACCGGCAGCCCGAGUGGUAGCCACGUUUAUUGGGUCUAAAGCGUCCGUAGCCGGCUGGGUAAGUUCCUUGGGAAAUUUGGCUGCUUAACAGUCAAGCUUUCAGGGAAUACUGCCCGGCUUGGGACCGGGAGAGGUCAGAGGUACUCCAGGGGUAGGGGUGAAAUCCAUUAAUCCUUGGGGGACCACCGGUAGCGAAGGCGUCUGACCAGACCGGGUCCGACGGUGAGGGACGAAGGCUAGGGGCGCGAACCGGAUUAGAUACCCCCGUAGU